GCUGUAAGAUCUCUUUUGAAGAAUAUUAAAUAUAAAGCCAAAAGUAUAGGUAGGUAGGUAUAAGAAAAAAAUUAUAUUAAUCUUUUUUUCCACCUGUUUUUAGAUAAUUAGGCAUUUUUUAAUCAGGCAUUUUCAGUUAGUGCGCAUGUGCAAAAGGUUCCGUGCAUGGUACCUUUACUUCUAGGCAGACUAGAGUCGGUCGGUCUCUGAGUCGCAAACAUAAGCGCAGUAGACUGUCGCGUAGAAUAUCGCGAUAAUUUGCUAGUCAUCUUCAGACGUUUUAUUUUACCGACAAAUUAUGUUAGUGAACAAUAACAUGGUCCUUUGGCGGAUGUUUUUUUUUAAUCCAACGAAUCACAUCAAAGUAACCAAAACGACGAGAACUGAAGCAGCGGCUCAAAACACCUGCAAGGUAUAUACAGCGGCUCGAGCGGCGAUCCAGGAGACAGAAACAGACGUAGACGGUGCCGACGCUACAAAAAAACACCAGAUCAAGUCAUCAAAUAAUCCAGGAACCGCAAUUGCAAAAGAUACUGUCGGCGACGAAGCGACUAUUUGAAUUACAAACGAGUACACUCUGUGAAUCUUCUUCUUAUAAUUGGGAAGAUCUUCAGUAUCAAGCCUCCAGAUUCCAAUCAGCAUC